rnacentral:rRNA from 1 species
GCAAGGGGAGCGGCAGACGGGAGAGUAACACGUGGGAACAUGCCCUUCAGUUCGGAACAACCCAGGGAAACUUGGGCUAAUACCGAAUACGUCCGUAAGGAAAAAGAUUUAUCGCUGAAGGAUUGGCCCGCGUCUGAUUAGCUAGUUGGUGAGGUAACGGCUCACCAAGGCGACGAUCAGUAGCUGGUCUGAGAGGAUGAUCAGCCUCACUGGGACUGAGACACGGCCCAGACUCCUACGGGAGGCAGCAGUGGGGAAUAUUGGACAAUGGGCGCAAGCCUGAUCCAGCCAUGCCGCGUGGGUGAUGAAGGCCCUAGGG